GUGACAGCCAUACAAGAUGGAUUCCUGUAUUUAUCUGCGAAAGGGGCACAGCACAGGCAGCUGCAGUACAUGCUUCCCGAGCAAUGAGCCUGAACUCUGACCUAGAGAUAUCACCUCUGUGAGAUGAGUCUUCAUGCCCAUUCAAUCCUUGACCCUU